rnacentral:rRNA from 1 species
UACGUAGGGGGCAAGCGUUGUCCGGAUUUAUUGGGCGUAAAGAGCGUGUAGGCGGCUUUACAGGUCCGUUGUGAAAACUCGAGGCUCAACCUCGAGACGCCGGUUGAAACCAUCUGGCUAGAGUCCGGAAGAGGAGAGUGGAAUUCCUGGUGUAGCGGUGAAAUGCGCAGAUAUCAGGAAGAACACCCGUGGCUAAGGCGGCUCUCUAGUACGGUACUGACGCUGAGACGCGAAAGCGUGGGGAGCGAACAGG